UAAAACGUUGCCUCUAUCUAAGCUUAGGUC
rnacentral:piRNA from 1 species